rnacentral:rRNA from 1 species
CCUACGGGGUGCAGCAGUGAGGAAUAUUGGUCAAUGGGCGGAAGCCUGAACCAGCCAAGUAGCGUGCGGGAUGAAGGCCCUACGGGUCGUAAACCGCUUUUGCACGGGGAUAACACCCUCCACUUGUGGAGGUCUGCAGGUACCGUGCGAAUAAGGGCCGGCUAAUUCCGUGCCAGCAGCCGCGGUAAUACGGAAGGCCCGAGCGUUAUCCGGAUUCAUUGGGCUUAAAGGGAGCGUAGGCGGGCGUUCAAGUCAGCUGUAAAAUCGCGCGGCUCAACCGCGCCCCGCAGUUGGAACUGGAGGCCUUGAGUGCACAACAGGCAGGGGGAAUUGGUGGUGUAGCGGU